ensembl:lncRNA BICD family-like cargo adapter 2
CUUGGCUUGAUAAAAGAGCAGUUUAAAUCAGGUGUCAUACGUCAAACCUGAAUAAUUUUGAUUGUAUCAAAAGAUCAGAAGCUUUCCUUUCUUUUGUUUUCCAGCCACCAUGGUGUGUUUGCACGUCAUGUGUGAGAAGUGACAGAGAAGGAGGAAGAAAACCCAGACAAGCCGCACGAAGCCACUGCCUCCAGUGACAUCACAUCGUGUCAUGUCGUGUGCCUGUGAAGACGCACACAGUUCAGGUAAAACAAGUUCAGUUACAUUCUGUUUGCCAUCCUCCCUUCCUCCUCUGUCUCACUUUUCACUCUACCUCUUUUAUGUUUAUAUGUACCUGACGGUGCUUGCACAUUGUUUAAGUGAUCCUGCUUUUAGCAAAUUGAUCAUGGACUUCUCCCAGCCUUUCUCGGUCCUCAAUGAGAGGCUGAGACCUCGGUUCACCACCAGCGAGCAGCUCUACUCCUCCCUGAACAGAGUGGAGGACAGACAGCUGGGCUCUCUCAGGAAUAAAUCUACAUCUUACAGACCAACAGUUUUGCCAAAACAACCAGAACCAAAGGUCUCUGUGACAGUCACAGAACCAGAAGAUCCAGAGGAGCCUGAAAACGAUGAAGAGGAUUUGGCCUCUGAAGACCAGGAAGAAGGAAAUAGUGCUGGUCUGAUGUCCAUUAACAGUUCAUGUCUUAUCAGUGAACUGAAUUUAAAAGAAGAAGGUGAAGAUGAGUCUGUGGACGAGGACAGCAGCUCCAUACAGUCUGAGGAGAAAGACAGUGAGCAGGCCUCAGAGGGGACAAACGAUGCUUCAGAACCGGGAGCAUUGGCCACUAAACACGGGAGCACCUUCCAGAAGAGUUACCUUGAUGGGACCUUACCGGACCUGAUAAACAGUGGAAGGCCACUCGGCAGACGCAGGACACUGGGACACGUCUCAGACACGCUUGAGGAAGUACGUAGACAAGUGGCGCUGACUCGGAGGCAAAGCCUCAAGAUCAAGGCUCAGGUAGACAAGCUGCAGGAGAGCAGAGAUGGACCGGGCUGGAGCCAACACAGAGAGAGGGUCACAGAGGAGGUUCUGUCUGUUCUGAGGCUGCUGCACCCACUGACAGAGCCAGAGUCCAGCCUGCCUGAACCCACCGAGGGGGAAAACCAUCUGGAUGUUGCCCUGGCACAGCUGCAGAGUGUCGCUCGCAAACUGGCGAUCAGCCACACCAAACAGGAUUCUAAAAAAAAGGGAGAUGACAGUGCUGUUCUGCAACAAGCGCUGCGGGACAGAGAUGAGGCCAUGGAGAAGAAGAAGGCGAUGGAGGCAGAGCUGCUGCGGAGCAAGACCGAGAUGAUGGGACUGAAUAACCAGCUGCUGGAGGCUGUGCAGAAACGUCUGGAGAUCUCGCUGGAGCUGGAGGCCUGGAAGGAGGACCUUCAGCUUAUGCUCCAACAGCAGCUGCAGAGUCAGCAGCUGGCAGAGCAGGCCCAGAGGAAGCCCAGUCGCCUGGGCAUCCUGAGGAGAAACAACAGACCGCCAAUCCAGCGGCCGGCCAACUUCUCCCUGCCUACACCCACCCCUCCUACAACCAACUCCCACCAGAUCUUCGUCUCCAGAUCUGCGGUUUCUACUGCACCGACACCCAGCACGCCUACUGGUAUCAUCACCCAACGCAACUGGAAGAACAAGCUGAGGAGGGGCAAGAACAGUCGUCAAGGAGACCUGGAGGCAGAGUGUGGUAGGGAUGAUGAUGGAUUCCAGGUCGUAUCGCUUGAUUGAAAUGGUGAUGACAUCACACUGUGAUGCACAACUAUCCUGUUGAGUCAAAGUCCCUCUUUAGUGAAACAUUCUCUGCUAAUCAUCCCUGUUUGAGCAGGACUUGGACACUAGAAGGUUCACUCUAAAGCUACAGUGUGGGACUUAUGUCCCCUUUUCCCAGCAUGGAGGACAAAGACACAAAACUGUGUGUAUAUAUGUACACAAGUGAACUUGUAACACUGGGAUAAGAGCUGCACUAACUUAGCUGGAACCUAACAGAAGGACAGAUAAAUGAGUUGUUUAUAAUUUAUCAUCUAGAAGUUAUUCAGCAUUUGUCUUUUCCGUCAAUUGCCAUGACAAACUUUCUCUGAAUGCCUCUUAGCUUUCAGUCUUCAUCUUUGCUAACAUGUGAAUGUUGCCACGGUAACAAGACUUUGUGUGAACUUGUUGGCAUGAGCUGCAAUGUAACGGAUGUUCAUUUAGAUGUAAAAAUCCUGCAUUGCUGCUUUAACGCCAGUGCACAAAGACACCAAACAGACUGUUGAUUGAAUUAACAGUCACCUCACAUCCAGCAGAUUCACUUCUGCAUGUAUGGAUGGAUGUUUCAGUGGAAGAGGAACUUUUUUCAGCAAAAAUGAUGAGAAACAUGCUAUGAAUGAAGUGGAACUGGAGCCAUGUAACAUUAGUAUUCUUUACAAGAACAUUGGAAUUUGUUGAUUAUGGGUCACUUUACUGUCUGCAAAAAAACUGAAACCUUGCUGCAAAUUUUUUUGCCUUUUUAUUGUACAAUAUCAAUAUAUAAUCCACUUCUAUAUGCACCUUGCACACAUUUAAAAUGUAUAUAUUUUAUAAUAUAUAUAUAUAUUAGCCAUUUUUAGAUUAAUUGCCUCCAACAUUGGCAACAUGUUCAACAAACUGAGACGUAAAUAGCACAGCAAAGUCACACCUGAUGACGAAAGAGAAGGCAUGCUCAUAGUGUAACAAUAUACAAUCUGAAUUGAUGAUUACAGUUCUUAACAUUUCACUGAACCAGUUUUCCUUUGACAUAAAUUUGUCCUACUGCAGAAACUGAAGCAAGACCCGCAUUCAAAUGUCAGCACAACCAAACAACCCCCAACAAUCCAUUCAUAUUGUGCACUCCCCAACACACGUCUUAGGGAUGAUGGGAUGAUUCAACACUAUUUAGACCUUCAUGUAAAAAUAAAUCAAGGAGAGUUUCACUCA